AGUGAACGCUGGCGGUAGGCCUAACACAUGCAAGUCGAACGGCAGCACAGUAAGAGCUUGCUCUUACGGGUGGCGAGUGGCGGACGGGUGAGGAAUACAUCGGAAUCUACUUUUUCGUGGGGGAUAACGUAGGGAAACUUACGCUAAUACCGCAUACGACCUACGGGUGAAAGCAGGGGAUCUUCGGACCUUGCGCGAUUGAAUGAGCCGAUGUCGGAUUAGCUAGUUGGCGGGGUAAAGGCCCACCAAGGCGACGAUCCGUAGCUGGUCUGAGAGGAUGAUCAGCCACACUGGAACUGAGACACGGUCCAGACUCCUACGGGAGGCAGCAGUGGGGAAUAUUGGACAAUGGGCGCAAGCCUGAUCCAGCCAUACCGCGUGGGUGAAGAAGGCCUUCGGGUUGUAAAGCCCUUUUGUUGGGAAAGAAAAGCAGCAGGUUAAUACCCCGCUGUUCGGACGGUACCCAAAGAAUAAGCACCGGCUACUUCGUG
rnacentral:rRNA from 1 species